CAAACGGUCCCUGAGCCACCGGAAAGGGCCCUCCUCCCCACUUGAGAGACAGCAAAGGGGACGCAUUCCCUGCCCCUGAGGGGCUCUCUGCCAGAAUCCCGUGGAGGGGAAACAAGAGAGGCCUCAAGGACUUUCAUGCAAAACAGAGAAAAAAUCUGGUGAAGACAGUGCAAGCUCCACAGCUCCAGGCCAGAGUCCCUGAGGACAGACUGGUGGCACGAUUCUCUGCCUCUUGAGCGCCAGCCCUCUCCCCGCGUCUAGAGCUCCCCACACAGGCACAGGCAGAGAGAAAAAGCAACUACAAAGGGAAGCAGAGGAAGUGAAGUUUGAAAUCCGGGCGUCCCCAGUUCCAGGCUAGUGUCUCUUCAAAAGAACACCCCGUCUCCUCUUUCAUCUCCACGUUGUGAGCCACAGCUCGGGGAUCUCAACUAGUUCUGAAGUUAAUAUUUGGCCCAGAUCACAAGUCCCAGUGACCUUUGCUGACAUUAGGGUCACACGCAUCGCUGUUCUGUGCCACAGAAGAGAUCUGCUUCUGCUUCAUUUCUCUAAAAACUUUGGCUGACGAA